GUGCUCGCCUCCGCAGCACAUAUACUAAACAUUGGAACAAUACAGAGAAGGUUAGCAUGGCCCCUGUGCAACGACGAAGCAGGCAGUUGAGGAUCUGGUUUCAAUACU